rnacentral:rRNA from 1 species
UCCGGUAUCCGCGUUGUAACCUCGAGACACGUUUUCCGUGCGGCGCUAUGGACAAGUUCCUUGGAACAGGACAUCGUAGAGGGUGAAAAUCCCGUACUUGCCAUGGAUGUACCGUGCUUUGCGAUACGUGCUCUAAGAGUCGAGUUGUUUGGGAUUGCAGCUCAAAAUGGGUGGUAGACUCCAUCUAAAGCUAAAUAUCGGGGAGAGACCGAUAGCGAACAAGUACCGUGAGGGAAAGAUGAAAAGCACUUUGGAAAGAGAGUUAAAAGUACGUGAAAUUGUCGAAAGGGAAGCGCUUGAAGUCAGCCAUGCCGCUCAGGACUCAGCCUGGCUUUUGCUUGGUGUAUUUCCUGGGUAGCAAGUCAGCAUUGGUUUGGAUCGUCGGAGAAGCAUAGUCGGAAUGUGGCGCCCUCGGGCGUGUUAUAGCCUUCUAUUGGAUACGACGAUCUAGACCAAGGAACGCAGCGC